GGGUCAGCAGGUUGGUCGUGCCACCGGUACGUACUGGUCUCACUGAUUCCUCCUUCCUGAAGAACCGUAAUGCCAUUAAUUUGGUGUUGCGGGGAAACAGGACUGUUACUUUGAAAAAUUAGAGUGUUUAAAGCAAGCUAACGCUUGAAUACAUUAGCAUGGAAUAAUGAAAUAGGACGAUCGAUCCUAUUUUGUUGGUUUCUAGGAUUGACGUA
rnacentral:rRNA from 1 species